rnacentral:rRNA from 1 species
CCUACGGGUGGCUGCAGUGGGGAAUAUUGGACAAUGGGGGCAACCCUGAUCUAGCCAUGCCGCGUGUGUGAAGAAGGCCCUCGGGUUGUAAAGCACUUUCAGUGAGGAAGAACGCCUGGUGGUUAAUACCCAUCAGGAAAGACAUCACUCACAGAAGAAGCACCGGCUAACUCCGUGCCAGCAGCCGCGGUAAUACGGAGGGUGCGAGCGUUAAUCGGAAUUACUGGGCGUAAAGCGCGCGUAGGUGGCUUGAUAAGCCGGUUGUGAAAGCCCCGGGCUCAACCUGGGAACGGCAUCCGGAACUGUCAAGCUAGAGUGCAGGAGAGGAAGGUAGAAUUCCCGGUGUAGCGGUGAAAUGCGUAGAGAUCGGGAGGAAUACCAGUGGCGAAGGCGGCCUUCUGGACUGACACUGACACUGAGGUGCGAAAGCGUGGGUAGCAAACAGGAUUAGAUACCCUUGUAGUC